UCUUCAAUUAUUGUGCCCCCUAAUCUCCUUCUCAGAUUCAAGCAAUUGAGCAUCUUCGUAUUCAGCGGUCUGCAUUCUGCACUAUCUGAUUCCAGAAAUCGUUAAUCGAUUAUAUGAUGUGGUUAUUUGAUUUGCUCAAGCAUCUCGAUAGUGACAUUUUGACCCGUUACACAAUUUGAGUUAGCCCAAAUGAACUUGCAUGUAGCGUGGAGCUAGUGGUAGACUGAGUUCAAAAGCUGGUAAAAAGGUGUGGAUGGUAAUGGACCUAUUCAUUAUAGUAGUCGUAAUACUUGAUGAAAUUUCUAUUGAGUCAUAAUCGAAUCUGCGUUUUUAUUGGGUUUGAUAAUACCAUCAGUUUGUCUAUGUGCAAUCUUUUGAUGUGGUCUGUAUCCAAAGUAAAAGUGUAGCAACUUAGUGUCUAAUACUUUGAUUAUUUGUUCUAAUAGACCAUAUACUAAUUCCAGUUGUUGUCACUUGUCCUUCAUUGUGUUCUUAUGAAUUAUGAUGAAUGAAAGGAAGAAAUUAACAAGAAAUGAUAAGUUCAAAAUUGAUGUUGGGUGAAAUCUACUUGUUGGCUAGCUUGUUAUUGAACUCGUGAAAAAAACGUUUAUAAAGUUGGAAGUUUCUCUAUGUUUUAAAUAUUGUUUCUUUAGUUUUUUUGGUAAAAGGUUUCUAACUGUUAUGUUUGUUAUGGGUUGGGUAGUGUACUCGCUCUCCUUGCUUAUUUACACCGACUAAAACUUCAUAAUUUAGUUUAGUCUGGUGCUCAACGAGUUGCUUCAUAUACUUAGCUUUUAAUUUGAAGUUUGGAACCUUUUUCAUAUAUUUAAUUUUAAUUUGUAUUAUAGAACACAUUGCUUCUGUACAUCUGUUGAGUCUUGUGCACAAUGCGUUUAUCUUAUUCAAUGUAUUAAUGUUAUGUAUUGUGUACAGAAGAAAUUAUCACUCGGUAUAAAUCACAGUUAAGGUACAUUCUCAACUCAUUAGUGUGUAAACUAUUUUGUGGCAGUUGAAAUAAUAAGAACUAAGUUGCUGUAAAUUAUUACAGACUGUUUUAAUGUGCUGGGCUGAAAACAGCCUCACGGCAUCAACACACAUCGGUUGUUUGUUGCUAGUAAAAUCAUAACUGAUUUCCAGCAGUUCAUAUAGACAGUGUUAACAGUAGUGUAAUAUGAAUGUAUAACUGGUGUGAAAUUUAACUUUUAGCAAGUCUAGUGGCAAACAAAACCAAACAAAAUCAAAGUGGACAAAGAGAAAUCAAUGAUUUUUGGGUACAAUAGCUUGUAAUCACCGUUAUGCGCCAUUGAUCCAUGGUUCAUUGAAGAAAGUGCCACAUAAAGAUAAAAGAUGGUAGUAUGUCUUGGUAUUAAGGUUUUAAGUAUUAUUUCUUUUAUUUGCUAAUUCUAUUUUUUUAAAGGA
rnacentral:lncRNA from 1 species